rnacentral:rRNA from 1 species
UACAGAGGGUGCGAGCGUUAAUCGGAAUCACUGGGCGUAAAGGGCGCGUAGGCGGCCUGAUAAGUAGGGGGUGAAAUCCUGCGGCUUAACCGCAGGGCUGCCUUCUAAACUGUCAGGCUAGAGCACGGUAGAGGCAGAUGGAAUUCCCGGUGUAGCGGUGGAAUGCGUAGAGAUCGGGAAGAACAUCAGUGGCGAAGGCGGUCUGCUGGGCCGUUGCUGACGCUGAGGCGCGACAGCGUGGGGAGCAAACAGG